rnacentral:rRNA from 1 species
UGGGGAAUAUUGCACAAUGGGGGAAACCCUGAUGCAGCGACGCCGCGUGAAGGAAGAAGUAUUUCGGUAUGUAAACUUCUAUCAGCAGGGAAGAAAAAGACGGUACCUGACUAAGAAGUCCCGGCUAACUACGUGCCAGCAGCCGCGGUAAUACGUAGGGGGCAAGCGUUAUCCGGAUUUACUGGGUGUAAAGGGAGCGCAGGCGGUAAUCCAAGCCAGAUGUGAAAGGCCGGGGCUCAACCCCGGGAGUGCAUUUGGAACUGGAUAACUAGAGUGUUGGAGAGGUAAGCGGAAUUCCUAGUGUAGCGGUGAAAUGCGUAGAUAUUAGGAGGAACACCAGUGGCGAAGGCGGCUUACUGGACAACAACUGACGCUGAGGCUCGAAAGCGUGGGGAGCAAACAGG